GGCAUUUAAUCCAAGUGGUCAACGUUUCAGUUCACAGUUGUGAACUGAAACGUUGACCACUUGGAUUAAA